UACAAAUUGGUGGGGGUACAGCAGGAGAGGGAAGGCAUUAGUUCCUUCAUCUCAGUAUUUUCAUUUUUUUUGUCACUCGCAAUUGCCCUCAGUCUGUUUUGGAGCCUAACGGCGGGAUUUUCCACUAAUGUCACAGGUUUACACUUCACUGGGAUUUUUUACGGAGUGAGGGAGGGGCGAGGGAAUGAGAGAGAAUGAGAGCAGUUCUCGGGAAUGGAGAGAGAACGGAGUUUUAAGGCUGAUUGUGCCCAUUGGAUUUAACCUUAAUUUUUCAUCGGAACAACAAUCCCACGGAUUUACUGGGACUCGGGGCUCACAACUUUCUGAGGAUUUAUGGAGACUUUGAGGAGCUCCAGCGAGGCCACUGCGAUGAAAAAGUGAGAGGAGAGUUAUUGUUAAACCGUUGUUUACUUACGUAUUCAACUUUUCCACUACAAAUAUAUUUUUUCUACUGGGUAAUUUUUUUUUCAUGUAUGCGAGAAUUCGAGAGUGCCCUCUUGUUUCCACUGAACUCCACUGGGGGAUGCGCAGGGGCUAUACGCAAGUGAUUGGGAGAGGUUGCACAGCGCUUCCGGGGCAGGCCGGAAAUCGAGGGCUGGCGGGAUUUUUAAAUUCACGAGACAGAUUUUGAGUGCAGCUUGUGAGUGCAAGCGUCAAGGAAGGCAAUGAGGACAGUCAAUUGUUUUAGUGAUUUAAAAUUUUUAUUUAUUAUUCAAUGGAUUAUGUUAAUUUUUUGGCAGAGUCUCCAUUUGUUAAUGCGCAUAGUCAUUUAAUGUUCACAAUAACUCCCUAAGCAUUUUCUGUUAUUUCCGAAGGUCCAACUUUUUUUGAAAUGUGAAAAUUCAUAUAUUUCAUCGCUCCACAUAGCUCUGAUAUCACAUGUAUAAUCAAAUAAAUAUAAAAAUCACGAGUA